rnacentral:rRNA from 1 species
UACGGAAGGCAGCAGUGGGGAAUAUUGCACAAUGGGCGCAAGCCUGAUGCAGCCAUGCCGCGUGUAUGAAAAAGGCCUUCGGGUUGUAAAGUACUUUCAGUCGUGAGGAAGGUGUUAAGGUUAAUAACCUUAGCAAUUGACGUUAGCGACAGAAGAAGCACCGGCUAACUCCGUGCCAGCAGCCGCGGUAAUACGGAGGGUGCGAGCGUUAAUCGGAAUUACUGGGCGUAAAGGGCACGCAGGCGGUUAAUUAAGUUGGAUGUGAAAUCCCCGGGCUUAACCUGGGAAUGGCAUUCAAGACUGGUUAGCUAGAGUCUUGUAGAGGGGGUUAGAAUUCCAUGUGUAGCGGUGAAAUGCGUAGAGAUGUGGAGGAAUACCGGUGCGAAGGCGGCCCCUGGACAAGACUGACGCUCAUGUGCGAAAGCGUGGGGAGCAAAC